CAGUAGCCACGGUAAUACGAAGGGUGCAAGCGUUACUCGGAAUUACUGGGCGUAAAGCGUGCGUAGGUGGUGGUUUAAGUCCGUUGUGAAAGCCCUGGGCUCAACCUGGGAACUGCAGUGGAUACUGGGUCACUAGAGUGUGGUAGAGGAUAGUGGAAUUUCCGGUGUAGCAGUGAAAUGCGUAGAGAUCGGAAGGAACAUCUGUGGCGAAGGCGACUAUCUGGGCCAACACUGACACUGAGGCACGAAAGCGUGGGGAGCAAACAGGAUUAGAUACCCCAGUAGUCCCUGUCUCUUAUAC
rnacentral:rRNA from 1 species